rnacentral:lncRNA from 1 species
GCUUUCCGUGCGCUGCGGCGGCGGCUGGGUCUUCCUGCUCCCGCCGAGCUGCCGGACGCCCCGACGGUAGCCAUCUGCGUCGCAGUCGGCCCGGUGCCCCCCGCCUCCGCGAUGCCCCCCAAGAAACAGGCUCAGGCCGGGGGCAGCAAGAAGGCGGAGCAGAAGAAGAAGGAGAAGAUCAUCGAGGUACGUCCCCUCCCCCUCCCCGCCGCACCGGGCUGGGGCUCGCCGGGCUGCGGAGCGCGGCUCCCCGGGGCCACGUGUCGGCGCCCGGCCCGGUGGGCCCCGACUGAAGUGGUUCUCGCCGCCCCUCAUCGCUGUAGUGAGGCCGCUGCGCCCCCGCGCUCGCCGCGUCUCCACCCACGCGCCCGCCGCGCCCACUCGGCCGCCCAGGGACCCCCGGCCCGGCCUUUCGAUGCUCACGACUUUCCGCGGCUCCUCGGGCUGUGCCUGAAAAAACAAGCUGAGUGGCGCUCUGGAAGGCCCCUCCUGACUGACCUGACGCCUUGGGUUUGGUUUUUUUCUUUAUCAGGCAGUGAGAGGUAGCGCUGUUCAUUUUCAAGAGCCAGCGGACUAUUUACCACUUUUUUGUUGUUGUUGUUUCUUUUGGUGUUUGGUCCAUCUGGAAACUUUCGUGUCAAGAACAGAGGUUUCCCAAAAAGCGUGGCCCAGCGGUUUUGUACAGAAUGCUUCGUUCAUACAUGGAGUCUGAAUUAAACGUAGGCUCUGUCACAGUACCUAUGUUAAAUUGGGAGCUCCCAGUUUACCUACACACACACACACACACACACACACACACACGAGCGUCUUUUAAUGCAUUGAACUUGUAGGCAUUCAGUGAGUGAGGCAAGGUACUGAUGUUCUUAAAUGUUCCUCAGGUUACAACGAUUGUCUACUUGAGUUUCCUUAAGAUAGGUAAUGAAAUUUCACAUUCGAUAAACGUAUUUCUUCCAUACUAAUCCUCAUUUAAAAGUAAAUGGUACCUCAUAGACUUGGAUGUAGUUGGAAGAAAAGAUGACUAUUUUACAGCAUCUGAGUAUAAAGUAACCUUUAGUAGGCUCGUUCUUAUUAAAAUAGCCAGAAUGAAUGUUUGGGGUUUCGAAAUGAGAUGUUUGCUUAUGAUCGUUUUUUUUCAACAUUUGAUUGUUAUAGCCUUGAAAGAUAGAAGUGAGAAUUCGCCAGGGUUCCUUUAUACACGCUAAUGAGAUUAAUCUUUUGUCAGAUUGUAUGUAGUUAAAGUUGGCUGAUUUAAUUUAAAUAAAAUUAAUGUGAACACAUCUAAUAAUUUACUGACUGUUGGAGUUCUAAGGUAGAACUGCCGUAGCCAAACAUCUGGAAGCAAAACUGUUGCCAAGCAGUGCUGGUGUGUGCCUUUCAUCUCAGUAGACAGUUUGCCUGGUCUACAGAAUGGCCAGAGCACACAGAGAAACUCUUGUCCAAGGGAAAAUAAAAGAAAGAAAAAUAAUUGUCACCUUUACAUCUGAAGAAAAAAAUCAGGAUUUGGGAGACUUAAAUCUCUGGGAAUAAUAAUCUGGUGGCAAUUCAAUAUUGUGCCAACAAAGGACAUUCAGAAAUAGCAUUUUACUUACAAACUACUGAGAUUGAAUAAAUAUAAAAUAGACCACAAAACAGUAAAAUUUCCAUUCAAAAAUAAAUGUUACAAAACAUUAUAGAAUGUAUUUCAGGCCACUUGGACCUAUAACCACUUUUAAUUAAUGAGACUAAAGGGUUUUUUGUUUCGUUAAUUUUUGUCACCUGACAGUGGAGAUGACACUCAGAAGGGCAGAGGCAGGUAGAGCUCUGAAUUCAAGAGUAGCCUGGUCUACAGAGUAAGUUUCAGGACUCUGGGCCUGCGCAGAGAAACCCUGUCUCGAUCGAAAGACAACAGCAAAAUUAAAGUUAUUUAUAAUAGUCUAUUAGCCCUAAAAAUCAUGAAUAUAUUUUGUCUUCCUUCAUCUCUAACAAGAUUUCGUUGGUUUUCUAGGGGUUGUACCCAAGGCAUCACAUUCUAGGGGUGAAUUCUACCACUGCUCUGUACAGUCUUAGUCAAGAAGGGUUGGUUGGUUGGUUUCUUUAGUGGUUGCAAUAUUUUUGUUUUUGAAGUAAAGAGAACUCAACUUUAGCUUUCAUUAGUGAAGACAUCUCCAAAGAUACAUUCAUUAAUGCUGACAUGGUGGCAUACACCUUUAAUCCUACUGGGGAGGCAGAAACAGGUAGAUAUCUUAGAGUUCUAGGCAAACCUGGUCUGCAAAGCAAGUUCCUGGACAGCCUGGGCUCUGUUACACAGAGAAACCAGUUUCAAAAAAAGCAAAACAAAUAAGAUAAGUGCAUUUAAAGAAAGUAUUGAUUAAAAUUAUCCUAAUACAUGCAGUAAUAGAAUUAAGCCUAGUUUGGUUUAUUUUAUAAUUUCUCUAACACCGUAGCAUGUCUUGACAACUUUUGGAGCUAUGCAGUGAGUUUAUAUUGUGGCUUCUGAGUUGAAUUUCAUAUAAAACAAACAAAAGAAAAUUAUGUGUGUUUCCUAUUAUUCUUUUAAGCUGUCUGGGAUAUCAUGGAUUUACUAUGAGUAUGUAUUUUCUCCUUGAAAUGAAUAUAUCACAUAGUAUUGUAAAGUUGAAGUUUUAUUCUCCAUUCACAUAUUGUUCCCAAACAGUAUAUAACAUUUGUUUACCUACAGCCAGAAUAAUACUUUGAAAUCAGCUUUGAGCAACAGAAAUUCUGAUCGUAGACUAAGCAGAGCCUGUAAUCGCAGCUGAGGCACAAGGAUUUCAAGUUUGAGGCAAGCAUAGACUACAUAGUGAAUUCCAGGUCAACCUUGGGUGCAGUACAAAAUCCUGUCUUAAAGAACAAAAGAAAAAUAAGUAUAAUUCUUGACUUGGGUUGGGGGUGUGUUUGGAUUUAGGGCAAGC